UACGUAGGGGGGCAAGCGUUGUCCGGAAUCAUUGGGCGUAAAGAGCGUGUAGGCGGCUCGAUAAGUCUGCUGUGAAAGUCCAGGGCUCAACCCUGGAAGGCCGGUGGAAACUGUCGGGCUAGAGUCCGGAAGAGGCGAGUGGAAUUCCCGGUGUAGCGGUGAAAUGCGCAGAUAUCGGGAGGAACACCAAUGGCGAAGGCAGCUCGCUGGGACGGUACUGACGCUGAGACGCGAAAGCGUGGGA
rnacentral:rRNA from 1 species